UUCUGCAUCAUCCCUCCCAAGAGCUCAGCAGUCAGUGGUGAUGAUGGACCUUCCAAAACUCCAGAGCAUGACCAGCAAAAUAUAUUUGCCUACUGAAGUUAAUGAAGUAUUAAGAGAAUUCUAAUCAUUUCAGGCCCACAAAAAUAUCCAAUCCCUCAUUCUGAGCAAGAAACUCAGCCUGAGGAAAUGAAGCACUAUGUGGAGUGGAGGAUGGACCAAAGAAGCUCUGAAGUGUACUGGAUGUACAGCAAUCUGUGGGACCAGACGUGUCGCACUAAGAGCAAUGAGGGAACUGGCUGAAACCAUUCUGAAACUACCCUGUCAACUUUGAAAUAUCACAGUGAUCAAGGAAGGUUGUGUCUGAAAAAAUAAAAGCAUCACACAUGUCUUCUAGUGAGGCAAAAAGAAGGAUCUGAGGAAACACAGGCUAGUGGCUGCUAUGUAGUUAUUUUUCGUGUACAAGUAAUUUAUGCAUUUGAAUGUCCUUUUGCAGGUGUUAUGUUCAUGAUCAGAGGCAAAAAAAAAAUUCCUUUAUUUUCAUCUAUAUUUCUACCUUAAUAAUUCCUAACAUUCAGUUUGACUUUUUGACCUCUACUGAGCAGCUGGCAGCAAUUAUAGGCACUUA